UGGGGAAUUUUGGACAAUGGGCGAAAGCCUGAUCCAGCAAUGCCGCGUGUGUGAAGAAGGCCUUCGGGUUGUAAAGCACUUUUGUCCGGAAAGAAAUCCUUGGCUCUAAUACAGUCGGGGGAUGACGGUACCGGAAGAAUAAGCACCGGCUAACUACGUGCCAGCAGCCGCGGUAAUACGUAGGGUGCAAGCGUUAAUCGGAAUUACUGGGCGUAAGCGUGCGCAGGCGGUUUGCUAAGACCGAUGUGAAAUCCCCGGGCUCAACCUGGGAACUGCAUUGGUGACUGGCAGGCUAGAGUAUGGCAGAGGGGGGUAGAAUUCCACGUGUAGCAGUGAAAUGCGUAGAGAUGUGGAGGAAUACCGAUGGCGAAGGCAGCCCCCUGGGCCAAUACUGACGCUCAUGCACGAAAGCGUGGGGAGCAAACAGGAUUAGAUACCCUGGUAGUCCACGCCCUAAACGAUGUCAACUAGUUGUUGGGGAUUCAUUCCUUAGUAACGUAGCUAACGCGUGAAGUUGACCGCCUGGGGAGUACGGUCGCAA
rnacentral:rRNA from 1 species